UUUGGCUACUUUCAGCUGCAUGCUUUACACAGUUUCAGGCAUGGUUCCUCUUCUCGGUUUUCCUGCUACAUCACAUUUCUCAUCUCACUGAAGAGUAUGUAAUGAACUCCCUUGAAGUAAAUUGAAAAGGCUGAUGGAGGAUUCGGUCGAGGCCCAUAAACUUUGAUCUGCCGAACAUGAGUAUCCCUUCCGUUAAGAUGAUUCGAUAGCACAGCAAUUUGUAACAUAAAUGUAUUGACAAAAGUUUCCCUAGGAUCAUUUCCAGAUAAGGAUAGAUAAACCCAGCCAGUUGGCUUGACAAGCUCCACAGUCUUGAUCUCCCUCAAGUUGUGAAAUCCAUCGCCAGUGCGAAUAGAGAUCUUACUGGGGGUAUAGCUC
rnacentral:misc_RNA from 1 species